UUUGUACUCUCUUCGAUCCAUAUUACUUGUCUUAGAUUUAUCUAGAUACGGAUGUAUCUAACGUGUCUAGGUACAUGUGUAUCUAAGCAAAUCUAAGACAAGUAAUAUGAAUUGAUGGGAGUACCAU
rnacentral:pre_miRNA from 1 species